rnacentral:lncRNA from 1 species
CCGUACCAAAAACUAAAAAAAAGAUACUUGUAGCUCCACUAACGUGACACGUCUGUUGAAUGUACAGUGAAUGCCUUGUUUUCCUGCUGUGAUCCAUUAUGGGAUGCUUGAAGCUUUAUGUAGUAUUUCAUUUUCACGAGAAUUUAUUGGUCCCCUUGUUGCUAUAGUAGCUGCUGACGCUAAGAGUGUGGUCCUAGCAAUUUACACCAUUUUAAAAUCGAUCG